rnacentral:lncRNA from 1 species
AUAAAAAGUGGUGAUAUAGCACUAAAAUUUUCGAUCAGAAAUAUUGAUCUUGUUGUAGAUAGUAUAAAGAAUUUUAUAUUAAUAUUUCAUCUGAUUUGAAUACUUUUACACCGUUAAACUUGAAAACGGUAGAUAUCAACCAUUAAAAAUUAGUGAUUUUGAAUUCUUUCGAUCACUAGGUAAAUGAUAUGGAAAAAUCGCAAAAAUUAUUUUCUAGAAACUUCAAAUACCCUAGAUCAAGUUUAACGGAGCUGAUCGUCGAUUCGAAAAUUCUAUCAUCGAAAACGGCUCAGGAGCAUGGAGGCCUCCAUGUAUAUAACUAGACUGGAAUACUAUUAAUAGCAUCAAGCUAUUAGUGUUAUUAGUUUUUUAGUUCUUGAAUUGAGAAAUGUAUAAUUAGGAUGAUGUAGGCCCCAAUAGUAUCCUUGCCGGACUCUAUAUAUAUAUAUCAAAUUUGAUUAUUUUUCAAAUUAAAAUUAGUAAGAGAUCCAUUUCACACAUUAAACAACUUAAUAAUUUGACGGGUAUAACCUUAUACUUACUGUUUACAAACAAAAAUUCUAUGGGAAACAUUAUUACGACGAGAAUAUUGUCAAAAUCAUCCUUCGUUACUAUUUUGACUUAAACACUAGAAGUGAUGGACGGUAUAUUUGAUGAUCUACAGAUGGGGAUGGUGUUCCAUAAAAAUUUUGUUUGCUACUUCAAUUGCAUGAGAGUGUUAUUUGACGUCAACCAUUAAUUCCAAAAUUUCGAACAAUUAAAAAUACGCAACUAAUUUACUUAAAGUGUGUAGACACAACGCCCACGGCUGUCUCGAUUGUAACUCGGCCGAACCAAUCUCACGCUACUUCAAAUAUAACUCGACCUGACCUGACCUCCCGCUACAGAGAAGAAGGGUACU